rnacentral:lncRNA from 12 species
AUUACCAAGCACCUUGCCCACGGCUUAGUCUCCUCUCCCUCUUCCACGAACUUAAGCAUUUUUGCAACUCCCUUAUUUAUUGUAGUGCCUGGCAAAGUUCAGGAAAGAUAGGUUUUCUGAAUAGGUGAGCAAAUGAAAGAAUGAAUACCCAAAUGAAGAUGACAGGCUGAGCUUCUGGAAAAUCUUUCUUAUCCCUCCUGCCCCUACUUAGGAGCAUCCAAGCAGGCACCAAAGGGGUGUCUUCUCAUUUUUUGCAAAUGCAGGAAGCUGCUGUGUUGUUUGUCAAGGCCAAGAAGUGCCCUGAGGCUCGAGGCCUGGCCACCAAUCCAGCUGUCCCCCUCCAUGUGCAUAUGGAGUCACAUGGUUUGCUCCACAGGGUCCUUCCUUUGAGGGAUAAUGCAGCAUGAAUAUCUUGUGUGCCUGAGAUAACUUGUGCUAUCAGCCCUCAGAGAGCAGGAUUUGAGGGGCCAAGAAAGGGAAAGGAAAGUACAAAAACAUAUCUGGUCUCAGCGUCAGAUAUGAGGAACACAAAUCAGCCAAGUGAUUAUAAGCUACGCUUCACUUCCAGCAGACGGUUGACUAAAACACAGAUGAGAUUGAUUGGAGAGUCAUUCAUAUUACACCUGAGACCCUAAAUGGUCAUUCAAGGAAAGCACAGAACCUCCUCAUUCCGUGAUAGCCAGUGCUAUGUUUCUCUGGCCAGUUUCUCCUCUGUUCCUGAAAAAAAAAAAAAAAUGUGUUUGACCCAGAUGGCUGGAAAUUGGACUAAUUGGUGUGGAGCCUGUCCUCCUCAUGAAGCUCCUUCCUUUACACCCAGGCCCUCCUUCUUCUGGAUGGACUUAGAAUAUAACAGGCAUUUCAGAAGUAGAAAAGCCUGCACAAUCUGAUUGAGAAUCUUCUGAAAGUUGUAAAAGACCCUCUGGUUUUGAAAGCCAGAUUUAGCACAAUUUAUACAAAUUCUCAGUGGCCUUCAGAGCUCUCAGCUGAGCCAGGCAUCCUUUGG